AAACUAGGAUUAGAUACCCUAUUAUUAGGAAAUGCAAAUUGUAGUAAAUAUUAAAUACGAAAGCAAAAAAUUAUGGCGGUAUCUUAAGCUUUUCAGAGGAAUUUGCUCUUUAAUGGAUAAAACACCUUAACCUUACUUGGUCUAGUAAAAUUCAGUUUGUAUACCACUAUAAAAAUAAUAAUUUACUUUUAUUAUUAAAAUUCUUUUUUAGAUAAAAAUUAAGUCAAGGUGCAGCUUAAGGCUAAGAAUGAAGUGAAUUACAUUUCUUAAAAGAAAAGAAAAGUGAAACAAAAUAUUAGGAUUUGAUAGUAAAAUUAAAAUAAAAAGUUAAUUUGAAUUAAGCUCUAAGAUAUGUACACAUCGCCCGUCGCUCUCAUU
rnacentral:rRNA from 1 species